rnacentral:rRNA from 1 species
CCUACGGGGUGCUGCAGUGGGGAAUAUUGGACAAUGGGCGAAAGCCUGAUCCAGCCAUGCCGCGUGUGUGAAGAAGGCCUUCGGGUUGUAAAGCACUUUCAGUGGGGAAGAAAGCCUUGGGGCUAAUACCCUCGAGGAAGGACAUCACCCACAGAAGAAGCACCGGCUAACUCCGUGCCAGCAGCCGCGGUAAUACGGAGGGUGCGAGCGUUAAUCGGAAUUACUGGGCGUAAAGCGCGCGUAGGCGGUCUGAUAAGCCGGUUGUGAAAGCCCCGGGCUCAACCUGGGAACGGCAUCCGGAACUGUCCGGCUAGAGUGCAGGAGAGGAAGGUAGAAUUCCCGGUGUAGCGGUGAAAUGCGUAGAGAUCGGGAGGAAUACCAGUGGCGAAGGCGGCCUUCUGGACUGACACUGACGCUGAGGUGCGAAAGCGUGGGUAGCAAACAGGAUUAGAUACCCGAGUAGUC